GGUGGCUCAGUGGUAGAGCGCUUGCCUUGCAGGCCUGGGGCCCUGGGUUCGAUUCCCCAGCACCA
rfam:Dipodomys ordii contig_3873, whole genome shotgun sequence.